rnacentral:rRNA from 1 species
UAUUGGGCGUAAGCGCGCGCAGGUGGUUCCUUAAGUCUGAUGUGAAAGCCCACGGCUCAACCGUGGAGGGUCAUUGGAAACUGGGGAACUUGAGUGCAGAAGAGGAAAGUGGAAUUCCACGUGUAGCGGUGAAAUGCGUAGAGAUGUGGAGGAACACCAGUGGCGAAGGCGACUUUCUGGUCUGUAACUGACACUGAGGCGCGUAAGCGUGGGGAGCGAACAGGAUUAGAUACCCUGGUAGUCCACGCCGUAAACGAUGAGUGCUAAGUGUUAGAGGGUUUCCGCCCUUUAGUGCUGCAGCUAACGCAUUAAGCACUCCGCCUGGGGAGUACGGCCGCAAGGCUGAAACUCAAAGGAAUUGACGGGGGCCCGCACAAGCUGUGGAGCAUGUGGUUUAAUUCGAAGCAACGCGAAGAACCUUACCAGGUCUUGACAUCCUCUGACAACCCUAGAGAUAGGGCCUUCCCUUUCGGGGGACAGAGUGACAGGUGGUGCAUGGUUGUCGUCAGCUCGUGUCGUGAGAUGUUGGGUUAAGUCCCGCAACGAGCGCAACCCUUGAUCUUAGUUGCCAGCAUUCAGUUGGGCACUCUAAGGUGACUGCCGGUGACAAACCGGAGGAAGGUGGGGAUGACGUCAAAUCAUCAUGCCCCUUAUGACCUGGGCUACACACGUGCUACAAUGGAUGGUACAAAGAGCCCGCAAACCCGCGAGGGCAAGCUAAUCUCAUAAAGCCAUCCUCAGUUCGGAUUGCAGGCUGCAACUCGCCUGCAUGAAGCCGGAAUCGCUAGUAAUCGCGGAUCAGCAUGCCGCGGUGAAUACGUUCCCGGGCCUUGUACACACCGCCCGUCACACCACGAGAGUUUGUAACACCCGAAGUCGGUGAGGUAACCUUUUGGAGCCAGCCGCCUAA